rnacentral:rRNA from 1 species
ACUCCUGCGGGAGGCAGCAGUGGGGAAUAUUGGACAAUGGGCGCAAGCCUGAUCCAGCCAUGCCGCGUGAGUGAUGAAGGCCCUAGGGUUGUAAAGCUCUUUCACCGGUGAAGAUAAUGACGGUAACCGGAGAAGAAGCCCCGGCUAACUUCGUGCCAGCAGCCGCGGUAAUACGAAGGGGGCUAGCGUUGUUCGGAUUUACUGGGCGUAAAGCGCACGUAGGCGGACUAUUGAGUCAGGGGUGAAAUCCCGGGGCUCAACCCCGGAACUGCCUUUGAUACUGGUAGUCUUGAGUUCGAGAGAGGUGAGUGGAAUUCCGAGUGUAGAGGUGAAAUUCGUAGAUAUUCGGAGGAACACCAGUGGCGAAGGCGGCUCACUGGCUCGAUACUGACGCUGAGGUGCGAAAGCGUGGGGAGCAAACAGGAUUAGAAACCCUAGUAGUCCCAUGAU